rnacentral:rRNA from 1 species
AGUGAACGCUGGCGGUAGGCCUAACACAUGCAAGUCGAACGGCAGCACAGAGGAGCUUGCUCCUUGGGUGGCGAGUGGCGGACGGGUGAGGAAUACAUCGGAAUCUACUCUGUCGUGGGGGAUAACGUAGGGAAACUUACGCUAAUACCGCAUACGACCUACGGGUGAAAGCAGGGGAUCUUCGGACCUUGCGCGAUUGAAUGAGCCGAUGUCGGAUUAGCUAGUUGGCGGGGUAAAGGCCAACCAAGGCGACGAUCCGUAGCUGGUCUGAGAGGAUGAUCAGCCACACUGGAACUGAGACACGGUCCAGACUCCUACGGGAGGUAGCAGUGGGAAUAUUGGACAAUGGGCGCAAGCCUGAUCCAGCCAUACCGCGUGGGUGAAGAAGGCCUUCGGGUUGUAAAGCCCUUUUGUUGGGAAAGAAAUCCAUCUGGCUAAUACCCGGUUGGGAUGACGGUACCCAAAGAAUAAGCACCGGCUAACUUCGUGCCAGCCGCCGCAGUAA